GACGAACGCUGGCGGCGUGCUUAACACAUGCAAGUCGAGCGGAAAGGCCCUGUUUUUGUGGGGUGCUCGAGUGGCGAACGGGUGAGUAACACGUGAGUAACCUGCCCUUGACUGUGGGAUAAAUUCAGGAAACUGGGGCUAAUACCGGAUAGGAGCUCCUGCUGCAUGGUGGGGGUUGGAAAGUUUCGGCGGGGGGGGAGAGACUCUCGGCUUAUCAGCUUGUUGGGGGGGUAGUGGCUUACCAAGGCUUUGACGGGUAGGCGGCCUGAGAGGGUGGCCAGCGACAUUGGGAGUGAGAUACGCCGCAGUUUCCUAUACGAGGCAGCGGUGUGGAAUAUAGCGCACUGGGCGGGAGCCUGUUACCGAGAAGCUGCGUGCGGAAUAUGGGCCUUCGGGUUGUAAACCGUGUUUGCCGGAGACGAGGAGAGAGUGACGGUAAUUGGUAAAGAAGCAACGGCUAACUACGUG
rnacentral:rRNA from 1 species